rnacentral:rRNA from 1 species
UACGGGAGGCAGCAGUGGGGAAUAUUGCACAAUGGGCGAAAGCCUGAUGCAGCUAUGCCGCGUGUAUGAAGAAGGCCUUAGGGUUGUAAAGUACUUUCAUCGGGGAGGAAAAAACAAAACUAAUAAUUUUAUUUCUUGACGUUACCCGAAAAAGAAGCACCGGCUAACUCCGUGCCAGCAGCCGCGGUAAUACGGAGGGUGCUAGCGUUAAUCAGAAUUACUGGGCGUAAAGAGCACGUAGGUGGUUUUUUUAAAGUCAGAUGUGAAAUCCCUGGGCUUAACCUAGGAACUGCAUUUUGAAACUGAAAUACUAGAGUAUCGUAGAGGGAGGUAGAAUUCUAGGUGUAGCGGUGAAAUGCGUAGAUAUCUGGAGGAAUACCUGUGGCGAAAGCGGCCUCCUAAACGAAUACUGACACUGAGGUGCAAAGGCGUGGGGAGCAAACAGGGAUUAGAUACCCGU